UACGUAGGGCGCAAGCGUUGUCCGGAAUUAUUGGGCGUAAAGAGCUCGUAGGCGGCUUGUCACGUCGGGUGUGAAAGCCCGGGGCUUAACCCCGGGUCUGCAUUCGAUACGGGCUAGCUAGAGUGUGGUAGGGGAGAUCGGAAUUCCUGGUGUAGCGGUGAAAUGCGCAGAUAUCAGGAGGAACACCAGUGGCGAAGGCGGCACUCUGGGCCGGAACUGACGCUGAGGAGCGAAAGCGUGGGGAGCGAACAGG
rnacentral:rRNA from 1 species